rnacentral:rRNA from 1 species
GAUCCUGCGUCCCAUUAGGUAGUUGGUGAGGUAACGGCCCACCAAGCCUGCGAUGGGUAGCCGAGCUGAGAGGCUGAACGGCCACACUGGAACUGAGACACGGUCCAGACUCCUACGGGAGGCAGCAGUGGGGAAUAUUGGGCAAUGGGCGCAAGCCUGACCCAGCAACGCCGCGUGAGGGAAGAAGGUUUUCGGAUUGUAAACCUCUGUCCUUGGGGACGAAAAAACUGACGGUACCUUACCAGAAAGCCCCGGCUAACUACGUGCCAGCAGCCGCGGUAAUACGUAGGGGGCAAGCGUUGUCCGGAAUUACUGGGCGUAAAGGGUGCGUAGGCGGUUUGAUAAGUCUGAGGUGAAAUACCCGGGCUUAACCUGGGGGGUGCAUCUAAUACUGGGAGGCUAGAGUGCAGGAGAGGAAAGCGGAAUUCCUAGUGUAGCGGUGAAAUGCGUAGAUAUUAGGAGGAACACCAGUGGCGAAGGCGGCUUUCUGGACUGUAACUGACGCUGAGGCACGAAAGCGUGGGGAGCAAACAGGAUUAGAUACCCUGGUAGUCCACGCGGUAAACGAUGAAUACUAGGUGUAGGGGGUAUCAACUCCCCCUGUGCUGCAGUUAACGCAAUAAGUAUUCCGCCUGGGGAGUAUGCACGCAAGUGUGAAACUCAAAGGAAUUGACGGGGGCCCGCACAAGCGGUGGAGCAUGUGGUUUAAUUCGACGCAACGCGAAGAACCUUACCAGGGCUUGACAUCCCGAUCGUACCUGCUGGAAACAGUGGGGUCAAGGUUAUCUGGGAUACAGGUGGUGCAUGGUUGUCGUCAGCUCGUGUCGUGAGAUGUUGGGUUAAGUCCCGCAACGAGCGCAACCCUUAUCUUUAGUUACCAUCAUUCAGUUGGGGACUCUAGAGAGACUGCCGGUGACAAACCGGAGGAAGGUGGGGAUGACGUCAAAUCAUCAUGCCCCUUAUGACUUGGGCUACACACGUACUACAAUGGCGUAUACAGAGAGACGCGAAGUGGCGACAUGGAGCAAACCUCACAAAGUACGUCUCAGUUCAGAUUGAAGUCUGCAACUCGACUUCAUGAAGGCGGAAUCGCUAGUAAUCGCGAAUCAGAACGUCGCGGUGAAUACGUUCCCGGGUCUUGUACACACCGCCCGUCA